AGUCGAGCGGUAGCACAAGGGAGCUUGCUCCCUGGGUGACGAGCGGCGGACGGGUGAGUAAUGUCUGGGAAACUGCCUGAUGGAGGGGGAUAACUACUGGAAACGGUAGCUAAUACCGCAUAACGUCGCAAGACCAAAGAGGGGGACCUUCGGGCCUCUUGCCAUCAGAUGUGCCCAGAUGGGAUUAGCUAGUAGGUGGGGUAAUGGCUCACCUAGGCGACGAUCCCUAGCUGGUCUGAGAGGAUGACCAGCCACACUGGAACUGAGACACGGUCCAGACUCCUACGGGAGGCAGCAGUGGGGAAUAUUGCACAAUGGGCGCAAGCCUGAUGCAGCCAUGCCGCGUGUGUGAAGAAGGCCUUCGGGUUGUAAAGCACUUUCAGCGAGGAGGAAGGUGGUGAGCUUAAUACGUUCAUCAAUUGACGUUACUCGCAGAAGAAGCACCGGCUAACUCCGUGCCAGCAGCCGCGGUAAUACGGAGGGUGCAAGCGUUAAUCGGAAUUACUGGGCGUAGAGCGCACGCAGGCGGUUUGUUAAGUCAGAUGUGAAAUCCCCGGGCUCAACCUGGGAACUGCAUUUGAAACUGGCAAGCUAGAGUCUCGUAGAGGGGGGUAGAAUUCCAGGUGUAGCGGUGAAAUGCGUAGAGAUCUGGAGGAAUACCGGUGGCGAAGGCGGCCCCCUGGACGAAGACUGACGCUCAUGUGCGAAAGCGUGGGGAGCAAACAGGAUUAGAUACUCCUGGUAGUCCACGCUGUAAACGAUGUCGAUUUGGGAGGUUGUGCUCUUGAGGCGUGCUUUCCGGGAGCUAACGCGUUAAAUCGACCGCCCUGGGGAGUACGG
rnacentral:rRNA from 1 species